rnacentral:rRNA from 1 species
GAUGAAUGCUGGCGGCGUGCCUAACACAUGCAAGUCGAGCGGCAGCGCGAGUAGUUUACUACUUGGCGGCGAGCGGCGGACGGCUGAGUAACGCGUGGGAACGUGCCCCAAAGUGGGGGAUAACGCACCGAAAGGUGUGCUAAUACCGCAUAUGGUCUUCGGAUUAAAGAAUUUAUUCGCUUUGGGAGCGGCCCGCGUCGGAUUAGGUAGUUGGUAGGGUAAUGGCCUACCAAGCCGACGAUCCGUAGCUGGUCUGAGAGGAUGAUCAGCCAGACUGGAACUGAGACACGGUCCAGACUCCUACGGGAGGCAGCAGUGAGGAAUCUUCCACAAUGGGCGAAAGCCUGAUGGAGCAACGCCGCGUGCAGGAUGAAGGCCUUCGGGUUGUAAACUGCUUUUAUAAGUGAAGAAUAUGACGGUAACUUAUGAAUAAGCACCGGCUAACUACGUGCCAGCAGCCGCGGUAA